ensembl:lncRNA
AACUCAGAGAGAUGGGCAGAUGUUUGUCUGGAUGGAUGAUAACCCUCCGGCUGCGCACACACACAGACUCUUAUGUUUUGCUCCGAGGCAACUGAUGUACUCAAUGGCAGUUAAUUCUUCCUAGAGCAACAUGAAAAAGAAAACACCUUGAGAUGGAGAUUUACAUGCAGAGUUUAGAGUGGAAUGCUCUAAACAGGUCUUGUAAGAUAACGAAGAGACCAGGAUUGAACAGAGGAGGAAACUGAUCAGUGAAGCAGUUUCAACAAAGACUCCAGCCAAUCACAGGGGACACUCAAUGGCACCAUAGAGCUGUCUUGAAAUGAGAUUGGGACCCAAUAUCUGAACCUCAUACUCCUUUGGAAUGUAUUAAGGAGCAAUUUAGUAUUUCUCCACAUCUUUGCAUGGCGUGCCUACCUCCUAAAGUACCAGGAAUCAAACUCAGGACCUUGCACUUGUGAGGCAGGCACGGUGCCACUGAGCUAAGUCCCUGGCCCUAUAAAAUAGAAGACAUUUUCAGCAGGUUUGGGAGUUACAUUUUUUCCCCCAUAUCAUUUUGGAGGUCUUCCACCAAGAUUACUGGUCAGAGUUUGGAGACUAAAACUAGAAAGGUAACAGGGCUAUGAAGACAGCCAAUAUCUUGGCCCUGGCUCCUCAAGGUCAACAAAGAUCCAUGACACAAAGGAACCUUUCUUACAGGAUCCUACAUCUUUGCUUAAGACUUGGAAGAGAAGCCCAAGCCCAGGAGAGUGCGAUGCAAACAUUCUGCUAAAUCCUGUAUGCAGAAGAAUGAAGAGAGACAAGGUGGUUAGAAGGUAAUCUUGCUCCUAAAGUUAAUCAUCUACAGUUAUUUUCAGUUCUUUUCGCCCUUUCCAUUGAGAACCAAGGAAAAACUUCAAUAUAAAGCUUUUUAUAUUUGCAUUGCCAUCCUUCUAUUUGAGAUCAGUUUUUAAUCUUCAUGUCCUUGUUUUCAUUUCUUGUACCUGUAAUGUAUUUUAUGUAAUUUAAUAAGUUUGAGGCAGAGGAGAGGAAAAAUGAUGGGAUUAAUAAGCUUUGAAAUUCAUAGUCCACAAGAGACACUGGGUUAUAGGUUUCAUUCACUCAUUCAUUCAGAAAUACUUAUAAUAACUAUCAGAGGCAAGUCAUUACUCUAAGUACUGAUACUAUAAAUAUGUGUUGUGUGAAAUAUACACAGACUGUGCCUUUCAAGAGCUAAUAAUUUAGGAGACAGAGAGACAGUGUACACAUAAACAUGUAAACAGAAAAGGUCCACUAUAAGAUAUAAGUACAUAUUCAAAACUCUUUUCACACCAAAAGAAAUGAAACUAAUAAUAUUCUUAGAAAGUUAAGUAAUACACAGCUACUCUCCACAUUAAUAAAGUGAGUCUUCCUUGAGCUAAAGACUGUGAAGCAGCCCAGGUUGAGUAAAGCGGCAGAAACUUUAAGAGUGAAGAUGACGCUCAGAGACAGCUAUGUGGGGAACCAAGGCAGCCCAGCCAUGUGAUGAGAUAGCAAAGCUUAGUACAUGCUAAGGAAGAGUCUGUUCUUGAAAAUAACUUCACAACUACAAAUCUCCAGACAUAAUGAAUAUCAAUGACAAAAUAGGGCUUAAGAUGAGCUUAAGAAAAAUAUAUGAAAAUAUUAAAAUUUAAAAAUAUUUCUAAGUAGUCUUAUUUUGUGAAAUGAUUGCUAUCAUGAUUUUAAAAUCACAUAGAAAAAUACGAGAAAGAAAAAUAUAAGCCUAUUUUGUAGGUAUAAUAAUAGUAAAUUCCUAAAUAAUUACAAAUGAUGUACCAAGAGCAAGUAACAGCUAUUCCAAGGAUGAGAAGAAUAAGUAUAUCAAGAUACUUUGUCACUUAAUGGGAAAAAGGUAAAAAAUAUCAGUGUCUCAGUAGGUCCAGGUAAAAAGUUUGAUAAUGUUCAGCACCUAUUUAUGUAAUACAUAGAAAAAUGGACAUGGAUUAGGAAUAGAAAUAAAAUUUCACAGAGCUAGCUAACAAAUGUAGGAAAAGAUGCUCAAAUUUAUGGAAUUGGAAAAAAAAGUUUAGAAAAGGCUAUUACUUCAUGGUGAUCAAAUCAACAGUAAUCACAAAACAGGAUAAACUCAAAUGUCAGUUGAAGCAUCGGAUGCUAUGACAACCUUCAUCAGAAGACAGAGUGGAGCAGCCAUUCUGGAGGGCAAUUUCGAAACCUUUCAUCAGUCAAGUACCGACAUUUCCUACAAUCCAUGGACUCCUGGACUUUUUUCUCCCAGACAAACAUUUCCAUAAAGAAUAUGGGCCAAGAUAUUUGUUAUACCAUUUGUUAGUCUUCAUGGAAGUUUGAGGCAGUCAUGGAUUGAGUAAAUGAAGUAGCAUGUUGGCUUUAGAAACAAUGGCUAGAUGGACAUAGAAGAGUAUAGACUAAAAACAUGGCACUCACUGCAUGAAAAAAGCAAUAAAAAGAAUGAGAUCUACAAGCCAAUAAUAUUUUUAUGAAUUAUACUCAUAUAUACAGGGAAUCACAAUACAUAUUUAAAAGAAUAUACAAAUAAAGGUUAAUAAAGCAAUAGAAUGGCUGUGUAAGGGUGAGUUGGAGAAUGAAGAUGGACUAGAUAAAGAGAAGAAAUGAAAAAAUAAAAGAAAGUGUCAUGUAAACCAAAGAAUAAAAUAUAAUAUACAUGGUGAGGAUCCUUUCAGAGACAGAAGGAAAUAAUUACUUCCAAAAAAUAAUGAGAUCAGAAAAAUGAACCAAUGAGAACUUUUUAAUGUGAACAUGCCAUAUGAGAUUACAAAGGAUGAUGAGGGAAACAAGUCAUGUGUGGUCACAGAAAGUAGCAGUGGCAACAUGGAGAAAGAGCUCUCCUCAGAUAGAGCAGUCAGAAAUGGCUCUCUGGUGAUCAUUAAGCCAAGACCUGCAGGAAGAGAAGCAGCCAGUGUGUGAAUAUGCUUGAGAAAAGCCUUCCAGUCAUGGUGCUUUGCCUGUUCUAAGACUCAAAAGGAGGCCAGUACAGCGGGAGUGUGGUGAAUGAGCAGGAGAGAGGUCCAAGAGGAGAUGUAAUCAGAGGCCAAGGCAUAGGGAGCCUCUGGAGUUCAUCCCAAUUAUAAUGGGAAACCCUGCAGGAUAUUAAGUAGAUGUUAACGAGAUUGGGUUUACAUUUUCAUUUUUUGAAAAUUUACUCUGCUGCUCUGAGUAAUAGAAUAGAAUAACAGAAGAAGCAGGAAACUGACCUGGAGGCGCUCUGAGACAGGGGAUACUGCCUGGGACACAAUGGUGGGUGUGGAGGUGGAGAGAAUAGAGGCAGGAUGGCAUAUGAAGGUAGAAUGGACAGGAAUUACAGGUGGACUGCGUUGGAAGUAAGUGGGUGGGAAGGAAGAAUAAAGACUUUCUCUCAGACAGGCUUAAUUUGGCUCUUUGUGAGACAUCCAAGUAAAUAUAUCAAAUAAGAUAUUAGGUGAAAGAGUAAAACUCAAAGGAUAAGUCGAAGCUAGAGCUGCAAGUUGGGAGGUAUCUUUCCAGGAGCCAUACUUAAGCCACGGGAAAGAUGAGGUCAGACAGACAGUGUGUGUGGAAGGGGAAAAGAUGGACAUACGUGUGGGAUCUCAGGAACUCUGUGGGGUAGGUGUCUGGAAAGCAUAGCAGAUAUGAUAAGAAAGACUGAACAAGAAUGGCCAGGGUGGCAGGAGGAAAACCAGUGUGGUUUUUCCCGCAGCAGAAGAUGCAAGCAGUGAUUACAAAGCCUCUCAGGGCAGGUUGAUAAUGAGCAUCCCAUAAAACCAAUAUUGUAGAAGUAUUGAUUCAACAAUAUUAUUAGUGGUGGAGUCUUAAACAAAGAAUUUUGCUAGUUUAUAUUAGUUGCAACUCCAGCUAUUUUCUUCUUCAGUAAGUAUAGAGCAAAUAGCAAGUUGAGAAUGGAGAUGUAAAUUCUCCAUAUCAUAUUUAUGAUUUAGUCUGUUGGAAAUUUAGUGAUUUUUGUGGAUCGGCACAAUGACAGUUUCCUAGCUGGCUUACCACUAGAAAACAGCUCUCCAAUCCUAGUUCUUUCGUUCAUAUUAAUAGUAUUCUCAUAUGUGAAUUCUCUCCUUCCCAAUUGUCCCACACCUUUUCCACUUAUGUAAUUUCUUAUAGGUCUAACUUUUCUCCUUUGAUCGAGGCUAUGUUAAUGUCUCUUUCCUUUGAAUUUCUCACCAACUUGGUCUUGACAUCUAUUUAGCAAUUAAUUAUGUUUCAUGUUUACUG